rnacentral:antisense_RNA from 3 species
CAGUACGACAUUGCUCACAUUGCUUCCAGUAUUUUUGCCCGCACUUGUGCGGGCUUUUUUUU